GUUAUUAUGUACCAUAUUCAUUCACAAGUAUUUGGAUGCAAGAUGGUACACCUUGGCCUGGAAACAACACCAGAGACCAUCCAGGAAUGAUCCAGUGUUGAAACCAUUUCUGGUUAUUCAUUCCAACGAAUCUUCGUCGAAGCCAAAGCAUUUCCAACGCAAGAUCUUCUAGACAAAUUUUGAGUAGUUAUGUGGAAGAAAGUGAUUUUGAACAAGAAAAUGCUGGAGAAUCAAGUGGUAUUGUUGAUGAUGAAGUAAUAGAGAACAAAGAUAACAAUGAACCACCAAUGGUUCAGGUUCCGCUGCAGCCACUUCCCAUUGAUUUAAUUGGAAAUACAAUGAAGGUUGGAAUGAAGUCAAGGAAAAAUGAAAAACUAGCGUUAACAUGGCAAGUGAUGGAAUACAACCUAGAGUUAUUUGUUAAUAUGGCAAUGUUUCAAACAGAUAUGGAGAGAAAUCGUGAGAUUGAAAUGAUGAAUAAAACUGCUGAGGCGUCCUCUAAUUUAACUUUG